AGACCCUUGACAAAAAAAACAAAAUAUGUGGAUUUCAGAGAAUCAGAAAACCUGAGCACACUGACCCUGUAUAUACUAAAAUCAGAUACCUCAUCACUGGCAAUCCAGGAGUAUUGGCUCAUCCUAAGACUCUGAAGUUUGAUUCAGAACGCUAUCAGUUUACAGAGCUGAGACUUAAGGAAAAAGAUGUAGAUACUUAUCUGAGUGUAUCAGAAGAGACCUCCGAGGACACAGUCUGGGACGCUCACCUGACACAAGGUGAUAUAAAGGACGUUUCACAAUUA